GCCUCUGUGGCGCAGCCGUAGCGCUUUCCACUCGUACCGAUUUUUAACGUCAAUGGAAGGGUCCAGUGUUCAAAUCACUGCUGAGGCA